CCGGUGUCCGGCCAGGCCCAACUCGACCCCGGCCCGGUCCGGACCCCGGCGCCCAGCUCCGUCCCGCGCUCGCCCGUGGGCCUCCUGCGCCAGCUGACGAGGCUUGGACCCGCCGCUGCCAGCUCGGCCCUGGCCUGCGCCGGAUGGGGUCUUCGGCUGCCCCCGCGCGGCCUGCUGCUGCUGGGCUGGUGUCCCUUCGAGGGCUCCGCGCGCCUGGAGCCCUCACACACCUGCUGGCCCUAAGGCCCUCGAGUCGGGAGGGGGGACAGGGGUCAGCUCCACUCUUUCCCCGAGGGACCAUGUGUGGGACACCUUGAGAGACUCCCACCAGCCCCCUGGAGCUGGAGUCUGAAGCCGCUAUCUGCGGAGGCCCACCCUGCCCAGUAGAUGGAACAGGGGCUGAGCCCAUCAUGUCACUGUCGGGGGUCCCAGCCCUUCUCAGCCUUGGGCCAGACCACUCCAGCCCCGGGAUCUGCCUGUCCAGGCUGGCUGGAAGCUGUUGUACUGGGUAAAAGUGAAAGAUCUGCCCGAGGUCAUAGGGGAAGGGGCUGUGAAGGACCAUGCCCCUCCCCCGCCUGCAGCCCUUCCUGGUACAGACCUCGGUCGUGCGCGCACGCACACACACACACACACACACACGCACGCACACACACGGUGCUUCACCCCAGCCAGGCCAGACCAAAAGAGACCAUUAUUUCCUGCUGCCUCCCUUUUGGCCCACCUACCAUGAGUCAGGGAGCCCCCUCCUCAAACCAGGAGCCUCCCAGAUCGGGAUGGGGACUGUCAGACACCUGUUGGAGGGUCCAGCAGCCCAUGAGAUCUAAGCCCCUAUCUCAGGAAAACAAAGAGAAGCUGAAGAAGGCUCCCCAGGCCCUGCGAACCCCUCAAGCAGGGCUCAUAUCAACUGGCCUGGGGGCAGAAAGAGGCAAAGUCUGGUCUGCUCCAUGCCCCUAUGCUGCCACCUCCCCAGAGACUAGGAGCAAAGGGCUAGAGUGGGUAGUGACCUAGAGGCCCCCGGAUACCCACACUCCAACCAUCAGGACUCAUUGGCCUUGGUGACACCACUCAGAGGGUGUAGCUGCCAUCAUCCUGUGUUAUAGAAGAGCAGCAGAGACCGCGUCAGCCGCUGAGGCCGCACAGCUGGAGGGAAGCAGGGCUCAGAACUCCCGGGCUGCCUGGCUUUCUGGUUUGGUUUCCACUUAGGUUUCCUACUUUUAUUUUUCCACUUUACCAGCUUAAUUACAGAGUCAAACCCAGUGCUGUGGGGAUUCCUCCGUCUUGGCCUCGUUAGAAGCUGAGAGGUGACCUGCUCUAAGUCUGUCACUCUGAAUUCGAUCAAAGAUGGUACCCAAUAGCAUUUUAAACCUGCACGUCCCAGGAGCGGGGCUGUGUCCCCCCAGCCCAAGCCAGGGACACACCUGGAGGAAGGCACCCCAGGAGCUGGGGGCUGGGAGUUCCAGGCUCUGAGAGGAGGCCCAAUGGGCCCAGAAGCAAGCAAACAUCUGUCUAGGUGCAACAAUCAAGCUCUAUUUUUGUAAUUAAAAAUGUAUCCAAAGGGAAAAAAGAAA